UAAUUUACCAGGAGUAAAGUUCAAGCUUUUUUCACCACUUUUUGUAAAGUGAUGAUUUUUAUGACAUUUUUCCCGUUUUAAAUUCCCUUUUACAAGAUUUACAAGGGAUUUUAAAAUGAUUUAAAAAGAUUUAUAAGGGAUUUUAAAAGGGAAAAAAAAAUUUUGGCGAAAAAUUGUUUUUUCGAAAAUUUUUGGCAGGAAAUUUAUUUUGGAAUAUUUUAGGCGAAAAAUAUUAUUUCAUUUUGUUAACCUAAAACAAUUUCAAAAUAGGAGUAAAAUGGUCAUUAAAAAUUUAAAGAGGGUAGUAAUGAAAAUAGAUUAAAAAAUGGUAGAAUUGAAAAAGGGCAUCAUGAAAAGGGCAUUAGAAAGAAGUUUUUUAAAAAAAGGAAAACAAAGAACAAAAUAAAACAAGGCCUUGAGAACUUUUUUAAAAAAUAAAGUCAAGAAAGCAUGAUUGUUAAAAUAAAAACUGUGAGGACUUUUAAAGCCACGGAAGCCUCUUCCCAAUCACCCGCGUAAAAAUGAAAAAACUGGACAGUUAGACUUUCAAAACUUUAAAAAAACGUAAAGUCUUGAAAUUGUGAUUGGUAAAUAUUCGACUUUUAAGACUUUAAAAAAAAUCUAAAGCCCUUAAAGUGUCUUCCAAUCACCCCCAAAGUGUCUACAGAUUUAUUUUUGUCAAUCAUGCUUUUUUUACUUUAUUUAUUUUGAAAGUUCUCAAAGCCUUAUUUUUAUUUUUUAUU
rnacentral:sRNA from 1 species